UUUACUUCAUGCUUAAAUUCUUCAAAUAGUAGGAAAAUUCUUAAUUAUGGCAUCAAUUGUUAAUUUUGCAUUAUUAUAUCAACAGCCAUGCUUAUUCUGCAUUGACAUGUGAUUGUCCAAAAUGACAAUGCUGUCCGCCCAAUUCUCCCAUUUCCUUGUGUGUCAUUUAUGAGAUUUUAGGUUGUUUUUAUUUUUAUGUCAUUCUCUUUCCUAUUCUUAUUUUUCUUUUUUCUUUUUUUAAAGAUCCCAGGCACAUCCACAAUCCGGAGGCCCUAUAAGGAGCUUUCACGCUUUUUGGUUUGCUUUAGAUGUUUAAUACCCCUCUCUUUUGUGUCAGGGAGCUGGAGAGGCGUUAAGAGGCUCUGAUAAACCCACUUAGAUCCCUUCCUGGCCCGUCACCCCGGCCUGCCAGGAUGCUUUAGCAGGGAGCUGAUCUGUGACGGCCUGCCACUCAAACUGAGCACUUCUGAAAGCUAGCACAAUAGAGCGAGCACCGCAACACAGAACGCAGGGAACCAACGAGCAGAAGAAGGAGGGCAAUGAUUACUCACGUAGCUCUGCGGCGAGCUUCCAUUCUCUGUGCAGACCAGAACGUGCCUGUAUCACUCUAGCAGUGCCUCGCUUUCCCUCUGCUGUUGCCAGCGUGGUUCUGCGUGAGAGACAGAGGAGAAAAACAGAGUGACGUGGAGAGAAAGAUGGAGAAACAGUUAAAGAGUUGGUGAUUUGGAUGUGCUUGUGGCAGAGGCGUGGAGCAGGCCAGGAUGGAUGAGGUUGUCAGGGCUGAAGCGGGGCUCUAGAGUAGCCGUGUGUGAUUCAUGGUUGUCAGGCAAGCAGCGAGCAGCGCCAUCCCUCACCAGGCAGUGCCGGUCCUGCACCACACCAGCGCUAUUACCCGGAUGAAUAUAACUGCUCUGCUUCAUACUCCCAAAGCCUACUCAUCUAAGGAGCUAAUGCUAACACUGAGCACAGCUACUGGGACAACAAACUGUGUGACAGGAAUGAAAAGAAAGACAGAGAUAAACAAAGAAUGUAGGGAUGACAUUUCAUGACAUGAUCUGCUGUGUGUACGAAAAGGAUAAUUCAUGUUUAGGAUGUAAAACGGAUAGUUCUGGUUCUUGAUGCUGAUUGGUCAACACACUAUGAUGGGAAACACCGGCUAGCUACUCAGUGAGGUCAUCAUGUGCCACUUUUUUUUUUUAAAUUAUUUAUUUAUUUAAAAAAAAAAUUGAGGGGAUACCAAAGUAUUUUGUUAAGAAUGUGCCAUGUUCAAAUCCUGACCAAAUAUAUUAUUAAUCUAGUGAACAAUAUGAAAUUGCGAUCAAUGUGUAAUCAUCAUUCUUUUUAAUUUUUAAAAUUUUUUGUUUUUUUAAAAAUUGAAAUUGUUGAAAAAGUUUUGAUUUAUACAGCCUUUUUUGUUGUUUGGGUGAUGUGAGGGCAGAUAGAUGAUCUGCACAAGAUGUGACUUGAUUGAACUGCACAAUAUAACAGAAUCAUAUCAGAUAAUGACUGAUAUUAAGAGAUUGAUAUUGAUCCAUAUUGGAUAUACCCUACUGUUCAAAAGUUUUGGUACAGUUUUUUGGUAAGA